AUGUCUCAGUUUAGGAAUUUCGUAUCAUUCACAUUACAUGCUUGAAUGAAAUCAAACGUAUAUGCCCGGAUAAUUUAAAAUAUCAAGAGUUGUUGUGUCAUACAAUAUAAUUGUUAUUACAUUCAUCCUGAAUAUACAUAGUUAUAACCCCAGUUCUAGCCUAAUCCCAGCAUAACCCUCAAAAUAUACAUUCUAUCCUAAUACAUAAACAUCGUUUAUCCAAAUAACGGGCUCGAGUCGAGAGUCGCCGCUCUCAGUUGCACUCCUCAUCGUUUCUCAUUACCCCACCCUUAAAUAUUUAUGUACAAGCGUAUCCUUAAGCACUGGGCUAAUUGUGAGUCAGUUAUAUUAAACACAUGUGCCCAUGAAAGUGUACAUAUAAAUUCCCUUUUAUACUUAAAAAAGAUUUUCUCUUUGCAAUCAUUUUAUUCAAUCAUUGGCUCAUCUAAGCCAAACUACCCUUGACUUAUAGCAAGAUCAUAAAUCUAUCGAUUACAACUUGCAAUACAUACCCGUUCAAAACGAUCACCAGUAAUUAGGGAGCGACCCCAAUAUUAUAAAUGGCAUGAUAUUAUCCUAAUCAUUUGACAAUGAAUCUCUUAUUACAUCGCACCCGCUAUAUUCUUUUUCCACCCUAAAUUCGGGGCAUCGUUAGACAUGUGGUUUCGUCUAAAAUUAUCCUUUCACUAAUUAUUUAUUUAUAUUUCAUGGCACACUAAAACAUAGUCAUGCUUUUAACUAAAAACUAAGUUCUGAACAUACAACACAUGAAUGCUAUCAUUAUUCAAAAUACUUUUAAGUACGAGUAAAAUAUACAAGACGCACCUUACUACGCGUAUUGUUACGUCCUUCCCGUAUCAUCAUAAGCUAGGUCACUGUCCCAUCAUUUUCCGGUCCCUAUAAUUUAAAUGAUACAACUUAGUAUUCUAGUUAUAUUUCAUGACAUCUUAUUCAAUUAAAAUCUUUUUUUGUGAUGGUUUCUAAGGAUAGAAAAAAGUAUAUGGGGUGUCGGAUUGACCCUCGGGUGCUAGACAAAUCUAUUAAGAAGUCUUCAAAUUUGUAAAAUAAUUGGGUUUUCAAAAGUUUUUAAAACAACCGGACGCGGUCCGGGGUAAUGAUGGCACCUUUCCCGGACAGACAGAUUUUCUGGCUUAACUUCCAAGCCUAUUUUAUGAGAAGUAAACCCUCUCGGAAUUAGGAAACACCUCAACAUGAAAGUUGUAGGUAUUUGGAAUAUCUUUCGUAGAAACUCGUAAUCAAGUCAACGGAUAACAUAUGAGAGAGUUUAUGCUCAAAAUACACUUCUGGUCCAGUGUAUCAAAAUAAAGGUUCCGAUUUAUUCGAAGAUUCUAAAAAGGUUUUCAAAUGAAUAAUUUUGAGAUAUUUCAAAAUAUUAUUUACACUAAAUAUGAGUUUCAUAAUAAGUUUAAAAUGGAAGAAAUUAUCAAAUAAAAUGAGAAACAUUUAGUUUUUUUUUUACCUUACUUGGAAAUAACUUUAUUUUACCUCUUUCGUCUCUUCUUUCUUUUCUUUUCUUUUAUUUUUUCCCUUCCUCAUCUCUCUAUUCCUCUCCCUCUCUUGCCGUGUAUUGUGUGUGUUAAUGAUGGGAGUAUGAGAGAUAUGGGUGUAUAGGCAAGAGGUAAGGUGUUGUGUGAGUGAUGUGAAUGAGGGGGGUGCUUGGAUAGGUAGUUGGUUCUUUUUUGAGUGUGUGUAUGUAUAAUACUACAUAUGUAUCACUGGGAUACAUCAUUACCAUGUGGAUUUUUGUCCAGAUUCUGUACGCUUUUGAAUCAUAAGUCUCGCUCGAGUUCUAUUUUCUAUUCAAAUAAAAAACUGAAAAAUUUUAAUAUUAUUGCCAAUAUUUAUAUGCUUAGUAAUAUUAUUAUUAUUAUUAUUAAUUAUUUAUAAGUAAAUUAAUUUACACAGGGUCUGAUAUUAUAUCUCCCACAACUUAAGAAAUUUGGUCCCUCUAAACUCGUCUACUUAGUGUCUAAUUCUUACUAUAUCCAUGGCUCACUCGAUCUAUACUUAGACAAAUUCUACUAAUAUCAUAACAACAAGCUAAUUUAAAAUUUUACCUUGUCCAACAGGUGCAAAGAUAUUUCUGCCGCGCCUAUAUCGCUCUCCUCUUUCCCAAGUUGCUUCUCCCAUCGUCUAAUUCUCCAAACAGACUUUGACCAACGGAAUUGUUUUUGCUUCUAAGUUGUUUAUAACCCGUGAAUCCAUGAUCCUCACUGUCGUUUUCCUCAUAUUGUCAAGUUUCCUUCCAACUCCAUAGGUGGCUAUUCCACCACGUGGGGUUGGAUCCGCUACAUACUUUCUAGCAUGAUACGUGAAAUACCGUCAUGCACAUUUGCAAACUCUGGGUCAAGGCAAGCCGAUACGCUACCCCCCCGGUCCUAUCUUCCUCUAGAAUUUCAGAUGGUCCCACAUACCGUAGAUUAAAUUUUUCCCUCUUCCGAACCUCACUACUCCGUCAUUAGUGAGAUUUUCAAGAACAACAACCCAUCACUUCGUGGAGUUCUAACUCUCUUAUAUUCCAUCUGCAUAACUCUUCUAACCGAUCUUGUGCAACCUUUCAAUCUGUCUUGAAUCAUUUUUGAUCUUCUCUGUCGUUUCCUCCGCACUGCAACGGGAAUAACGACCCGUACGAGAAGAUUCUGGCCCAGUAAUGUCUGUCUCUUCAACCUCCGUCCAACAAGACAGUGAUCUACAAUUUAUGCAGUAUAUUGCCUUGAAAGGUGUCCCUGCCGAUACUCACUCGCUUGAUAGCUAUUAUUGUAAGGUAAACUCUGGCCAAUGCUAAAUGUUCCUCCCAACUUCCUUGAAACUCCAUAAUAACAUGCUCGUAGCAAAUCUUCUAAUGUCGGUAUCGUCGCAUCUAAUUAUUGCCCAUCUUUUUUGUAAUAAAAGUCGUACUUAAUUUUAGCUCGGUCCACCAUCGCCUUUUGUAAUGAGUGCAAAAUCUAGAUACAAAUCUUGAAUCCCUAUCAUGACGUAAUUGAUAUUGUCACUCCAAUGCAGUCGUACAAUCUCCCUCAAGUAGGGUAGCCAGACCGCCAUUUAUCCAUCGUGUGGCGUGUUCUUGACUGGAAUAAAAUGCACCGACUUGUCAAACGGUCCAGCAAUGAACCUAAAAUCAAAUUGUUUCCCUUCAACAAAAAAAAAAAAAAAACCGUACGAGGAAAUCCAACAACGUAGUCCAUUGUGAUGUCCUCCCAUUUUCACUUUCGAUACUGGAAGUGGUUGAAGUAGUCCAAUGCUUACUGGUGUACUGUCCUUGAUCCUCUUACAUUUAUCAACACUUUGCUACGUACUCCUUAGGUCCUGUUUUUCAAUGCCCAUCCAACCAAUACCUUUCAUCAAAUCCUAGUACAUCUCAUCAUUCCCGUAUGACAAUUGCCCCUUUGACUUGUGUCCCUUGUACAUAAUCUGUUACUUCGAGGUGACUAAAACAUUAGGCAACACAGUCCUAUUCUGAAUCUGAACACUCCUUCGAUCAUCUUGAAUUCUGUAUUCGGUGGUAUCGUCAACUUAUCAUAAAUCUUUUUGAGUUGGGAAUCCUUUCAUUUGUCUGAGUUUAAUCUCUUCUAAAAUUGUCGGCUUCCGCUCUAAUCGUUGCACAUAGGGCCCUCAAUUCCAGAACAGGGGGGGGGAAAAAAAACAACUCACCACUUUUCAACUCUAAUUCCACUCUAGCUCUCCAUUUCUUAUUUAAACAUCCCUGUCCGUAACCAAUGCCCAUUCAGCUUCCUAUUGCCUUCCGACUAAAACUCUUGCUACCAUGUUCGCCUUUUCCCGGAAGGUGAUAUUGAUGCUUGAUUCGUAGUCUUUCAUUAGUUUUCCAACCAUCUCCGUUGUCUAAGAGUUCACUCCCUUCUGCGGUAAUGUACUUCAAACUCUUGUGGUCGGUAUAGAUUUUCACAUUUCAACAUCCAUAUAAGUAAUGCUCGCCAUAACAUCGUUAAGGCAAAUAUAAAACCGUCGCUAAAACUCUAGAUCAUGAGUAGGGUAAUUCUUCUCGUGUGCUUCAACACCUUGAAGCAUAUGGCUACAACCUUCCCAUUCUGCAUCAAACCAUCCCAAUCCUUGAGUGACGCGUCGCUAUAAACGAAAACCUUUUGUGCCCCUCUGGCAUAUAAUAUUGGCACCGUUGUCAGUCUCCUCUUCAAUUCUGAAACUCUAUUCACAUUUUUCUUGGCCACGAACGGUUUUCUUCUUGCGAGUCAACUCUGUCAAUGGGACUAAUUUUGGCCAAUUUUUGAACAAUCUGCAGAAUCUUUCUAUAAUUCAUCAAGUCCCAAAAGCUUCGACCUCAAACACCGUCUUUGGGUUUAUGGCCCAAUCCAUGAUUGCCUUAAUCUUCUACGUAAUCAACUGAGAAUCCAUCCUAUUUGAUAAUAUACCCCAAAUAUCACAUUGUUUACCCAAAAUUCACACCUUUCUUGAAUUUGGCAUACAAACUUUGGUCCUUUCAAAGUCUGCAAUACAAUCCUCAAAGUUCUGCGUGCUGAAUCCUCAUCCUUGAUACAUAAGUGUCGUCUAUGAAUACAAUGACAAACCAUCCAAAUAAUUCUUAGAAAUCUCGGUUCAUCAAAUCCAUGAACGCGACUGGAGCCUUAGUAACUCCAAAUGGCAUUACCAAGAACUCGUCAUGUCCAUACCGGGUCCUAAACCUAGUCUCUCAAUGUCCACGCGACUUUCACCUUGAGUUGAUGGUAUCCGGAAUGCAAAUUAAUCUUUGAAAAUACUUGAGCCCCUUUGUAAUUGGUCAAUAAAUCAUCGAUCCUUGGUAACUGAUAUUUAUUCUAAUGGUAACUUUGUUCAACUCGCGGUAGUCCGAUAUUAAUCGCAUCGUCCCCGGUCCUUCUUCUUCACAACAACACUGGUGCCUCCCCAUGGUGACGACUCGAUCGUAGAAAAUCCUGUCCAAUAACUCUUUUUUGGUCAUUUGUAAUUGCAAACUCCUUUAACUUCGCUGUGAGCCAUUUCAGUAUGGA
rnacentral:lncRNA from 1 species